AACCGAUACUUUCAAAACUAAAUAUCGAUACAGUUUUGAAUGUAUCGAUAAUUGUACCGUCUUAGAAAAAGUAUCAAUGUAUCAUGGCACCCCUAACCGUAGCAAUGUUCUGGCUUACUUUAGAAUUCAGCAUCACAAACUUGCAAUACCCCAUGAAGUAAUGCCUCAUGAAUCUUUGCAAAUUGUUUAAUCCUUCUCAAUAUUAGUACAGUUACCUUGAAUGGUUGUGUGCCCAUCAGUACCGUGUGCAGCAAUACAUGUGUUAGGUAUUAUCUCAAUACAUGAUCAUUCAAUAUUGAUAAAUGUAAGAAGAAAUUCAAAAUGGCCAAGAAGAGAGUAUUUGAUAGACAUGGAAUAGCGUUAUAUACAGAUAGUCUGUCUUUGAUGACAUAUUUGAAAAAUUUAAAGAAAAACUGUAUUUACUCUCAUAACAAGCAGUUCCAGACAAGUAUUGUGGUUCAGAAUUUGCUCUUUUCACAUAUCAAUAGGGUAAUUUUCAACAUUUUUAAGCUUUUCUAUUGACUUUUGCACUUGAAUGAUGUGCAAACAUUAGCAAUUCAAAAAUUAAUCCCUGCAAUAAUCAUGUCUUUUAUAGAGAUAUCAUUUUCACUUUCAGGUUACUAUCUACUCAUAUCUUACCACAGUUUCAUAGAGAGCUGAUGCGUGUCGUGUUUCGUAGUGCACACAAUUCAGGCCAGACCCAUGAAGAGAAAAUAUUGGCUUUUCCCAAUUCAGAGAUUGAGAUGUAGUAUCUGUGAGAAGGUACUAAAAUGUAAAGGUAGAUAUCCUGUUCAUCAGCAGACGCACAGUCAAAAGAAAAGGAGACCAUACAGGCAUUUCUACAGAUUUCCAAGCAUGAAUGCUCAUGUCUUAAGCUGAGAACAAAAAUGAUGAACAAGCAGAAAAUACAGCAGCAAAGGACAAGGAAGAGAUGGCACACAUUUCAAGAAUAAGAUUAACUUGAAAAAUAUUCAGAUGAUUUCUGAGGGAUGUUACAUGUGGGAAUUCACUUUCCCAGUAAAGUACAGAUACUAUAUAGCUAUAUAGUACUUUGCUGGUGGGGAUGUAGUCAAUCCCAUGUGUGAUUUGAACCCACCCUCUCAGAAUGAAACACUUUAUCACAAAACAACAUAAUCAGCUAUUUAACCUGACAAAUGUUAGUCAAGGUCUCUUUCAGAGAAGUGUAAAUGCCAAAAUUACAAAUUUUUGCAAAGCUAUGCAAAUAAGCAUGUCAAACUAUUUGAUUUAAUAAAUAGUAAUUAUUAAACUUA